rnacentral:rRNA from 1 species
AACGAACGCUGGCGGCAUGCCUAACACAUGCAAGUCGAACGAAGGCUUCGGCCUUAGUGGCGCACGGGUGCGUAACGCGUGGGAAUCUGCCCCUCGGUUCGGAAUAACAGUUAGAAAUGACUGCUAAUACCGGAUGAUGACUUCGGUCCAAAGAUUUAUCGCCGAGGGAUGAGCCCGCGUAAGAUUAGGUAGUUGGUGGGGUAACGGCCUACCAAGCCGACGAUCUUUAGCUGGUCUGAGAGGAUGAUCAGCCACACUGGGACAGAGACACGGCCCAGACUCCUACGGGGGGCAGCAGUGGGGAAUAUUGGACAAUGGGCGAAAGCCUGAUCCAGCAAUGCCGCGUGAGUGAUGAAGGCCUUAGGGUUGUAAAGCUCUUUUACCAGGGAUGAUAAUGACAGUACCUGGAGAAUAAGCUCCGGCUAACUCCGUGCCAGCCGCCGCCGUAA